UCUCGUUUUGUGUCCACGUUUGUUCAGUCUUGAGCUUCUCCACACAGAAAGCCACACUGGCUCAGCAUCUUGAAGCACGUUCUCUAAUACAACGAUCUCCAACUGCCACAGAGCCUCUAAGCAAGAUGAGAGUGGACUUAACAUGACAAGAUGCCACAUUCAUUUUAAAUUGUCGUUGCUGAUACCAAACCUUUGAUGUUUGAGACACCUGCCUGGGAGUCAGCAGCAUACUCUAUCAGAAUGUCAGGAACCGUCACGAGGACCUGGGCCCUGGGCCCUGGGAGACAGGGCUGUGCGUCAUGGGAUGCAAGUCCUGGAACGAUGACAGGGGAGAAGCAAGGAAAAGAUUAAGGAGGGAAAGAAGGUGGCAUUUCUUGAUUCUCCUUUUCAUCUUAGUGACGACAGACCCAGACUGGGACUCAGGAGACUGGAAGGUCAUCCUCAAACCCACCUCUUUGCUAAAUUACUGAAUUUCUCUGUACUUCACUUUCUCUGU